rnacentral:rRNA from 1 species
AACGAACGCUGGCGGCGUGGAUAAGACAUGCAAGUCGAACGGGACACCAUGAGUAGCAAUACAAGUGGUGUCUAGUGGCGAACGGGUGCGUAACACGUGGAUACAUUCCGGGAAGCGGGGGAUAGCCCAGGGAAACUUGGAUUAAUACCGCAUGUGGUCGAAAGACUAAAGGCAGGGACCGCAAGGCCUGCCACUUCCCGAUUGGUCCGCGGCCUAUCAGCUAGUUGGCGGGGUAAAGCCCACCAAGGCUACGACGGGUAGCUGGUCUUAGAGGACGACCAGCCACACUGGAACUGAGACACGGUCCAGACACCUACGGGUGGCAGCAGUCGAGAAUCUUUCACAAUGGGGGCAACCCUGAUGGAGCGACGCCGCGUGGAGGAUAAGGUCUUCGGAUUGUAAACUCCUGUCAUGUGUGAACAAGGUUGUCGUGUUAAUAGCAUUGGCAAAUUGAUGGUAACACAAGAGAAGAGACGGAUAACUC